CGCUGGCGGCGCGCCUAACACAUGCAAGUCGAACGGUGACGAAGGAGCUUGCUCCUUCUGAUCAGUGGCGGACGGGUGAGUAACGCGUGAGUAACCUACCUUCAGGAGGGGGACAACAUUCCGAAAGGGAUGCUAAUACCGCAUGACAUACAUUUGAGGCAUCUCAGAUGUAUCAAAGAUUUAUCGCCUGAAGAUGGACUCGCGUCUGAUUAGCUAGUUGGUGGGGUAACGGCCUACCAAGGCGACGAUCAGUAGCCGAACUGAGAGGUUGAUCGGCCACAUUGGGACUGAGACACGGCCCAGACUCCUACGGGAGGCAGCAGUGGGGAAUAUUGCACAAUGGGCGCAAGCCUGAUGCAGCAACGCCGCGUGAGGGAAGACGGUUUUCGGAUUGUAAACCUCUGUCUUUGGUGACGAAGAAGUGACGGUAGCCAAGGAGGAAGCCACGGCUAACUACGUG
rnacentral:rRNA from 1 species